rnacentral:ncRNA from 1 species
UGCGUUCGUGACUGGGCGGCGAGCUUCGGUGAGCUGUUUCGGGCUAGUAGCGUGGCCCGUAGGUUGGAUUCGUUUCAGCUUGGUCUGCGUUACGUUUCGGCGUGCGUAGUCUUCGGCUAGCGCUUAACAAUCGAAUCUAGAAUUGGUACGGACUGGGGGAAUCCGACUGUCUAAUUAAAACAGAGGAGACAGAUGGUCUCUGAAAGACGUUGACUGUCUCUGAUUUCUGCCCAGUGCUCUGAAUGUUAAUUUAAGGAAAUUUGAGUAAGCGCGGGUAAACGGCGGGAGUAACUAUGACUCUCUUAAGGUAGCCAAAUGCCUCGUCAUUUAAUUAGUGACGCGUAUGAAUGGUGCCAGCGGUGUUGAUUAGGUCC